GGUGAGUAAAGCUUAGGAAUCUGCCUAUUAGUGGGGGACAACAUUUCGAAAGGGAUGCUAAUACCGCAUACGUCCUACGGGAGAAAGCAGGGGAUCACUUGUGACCUUGCGCUAAUAGAUGAGCCUAAGUCGGAUUAGCUAGUUGGUGGGGUAAAGGCCUACCAAGGCGACGAUCUGUAGCGGGUCUGAGAGGAUGAUCCGCCACACUGGGACUGAGACACGGCCCAGACUCCUACGGGAGGCAGCAGUGGGGAAUAUUGGACAAUGGGGGGAACCCUGAUCCAGCCAUGCCGCGUGUGUGAAGAAGGCCUUUUGGUUGUAAAGCACUUUAAGUGGGGAGGAGGCUCUCUUGGUUAAUACCUAAGAAGAGUGGACGUUACCCACAGAAUAAGCACCGGCUAACUCUGUGCCAGCAGCCGCGGUAAUACAGAGGGUGCGAGCGUUAAUCGGAUUUACUGGGCGUAAAGCGCGCGUAGGUGGUUAAUUAAGUCAAAUGUGAAAUCCCCGAGCUUAACUUGGGAAUUGCAUUCGAUACUGGUUAGCUAGAGUAUGGGAGAGGAUGGUAGAAUUCCAGGUGUAGCGGUGAAAUGCGUAGAGAUCUGGAGGAAUACCGAUGGCGAAGGCAGCCAUCUGGCCUAAUACUGACACUGAGGUGCGAAAGCAUGGGGAGCAAACAGGAUUAGAUACCCUGGUAGUCCAUGCCGUAAACGAUGUCUACUAGCCGUUGGGGGAUUUGAUCCUUUAGUGGCGCAGCUAACGCGAUAAGUAGACCGCCUGGGGAGUACGGUCGCAAGACUAAAACUCAAAUGAAUUGACGGGGGCCCGCACAAGCGGUGGAGCAUGUGGUUUAAUUCGAUGCAACGCGAAGAACCUUACCUGGCCUUGACAUAGUAGAGACUUUCCAGAGAUGGAUUGGUGCCUUCGGGAAUCUACAUACAGGUGCUGCAUGGCUGUCGUCAGCU
rnacentral:rRNA from 1 species